rnacentral:rRNA from 1 species
UACGUAGGUCCCGAGCGUUGUCCGGAUUUAUUGGGCGUAAAGCAAGCGCAGGUGGUUUAUUAAGUCUGGUGUAAAAGGCAGUGGCUCAACCAUUGUAUGCAUUGGAAACUGGUAGACUUGAGUGCAGGAGAGGAGAGUGGAAUUCCAUGUGUAGCGGUGAAAUGCGUAGAUAUAUGGAGGAACACCGGUGGCAAAAGCGGCUCUCUGGCCUGUAACUGACACUGAGGCUCGAAAGCGUGGGGAGCAAACAGG